rnacentral:rRNA from 1 species
GGGGAAUUUUGGACAAUGGGCGCAAGCCUGAUCCAGCCAUGCCGCGUGAGUGAAGAAGGCCUUCGGGUUGUAAAGCUCUUUCGGCCGGGAAGAAAUCGUGUUCUCUAACAUAGGACAUGGAUGACGGUACCGGACUAAGAAGCACCGGCUAACUACGUGCCAGCAGCCGCGGUAAUACGUAGGGUGCGAGCGUUAAUCGGAAUUACUGGGCGUAAAGCGUGCGCAGGUGGUUUGCUAAGACAGGUGUGAAAUCCCCGGGCUUAACCUGGGAACUGCGCUUGUGACUGGCAGGCUAGAGUACGGCAGAGGGGGGUGGAAUUCCUGGUGUAGCAGUGAAAUGCGUAGAGAUCAGGAGGAACACCGAUGGCGAAGGCGGCUACCUGGACCGAUAUUGACGCUGAGACGCGAAAGCGUGGGGAGCAAAC